GACCUACGGGGGGCAGCAGUAGGGAAUCUUCGGCAAUGGACGGAAGUCUGACCGAGCAACGCCGCGUGAGUGAAGAAGGUUUUCGGAUCGUAAAGCUCUGUUGUAAGAGAAGAACGAGUGUGAGAGUGGAAAGUUCACACUGUGACGGUAUCUUACCAGAAAGGGACGGCUAACUACGUGCCAGCAGCCGCGGUAAUACGUAGGUCCCAAGCGUUGUCCGGAUUUAUUGGGCGUAAAGCGAGCGCAGGCGGUUAGAUAAGUAUUGAGUUACAGGCUGAGGCGUAACCAUAGUACGCUU
rnacentral:rRNA from 1 species